ensembl:lncRNA
CGUUUUUGGUGACGAAAAAACACAACUAUCUGCGCCCUCCCGCCGCGGACACGAGCAGCAGGCUGGGUUGAGUCUCCAUGGUUCUCAUGAUGCGUUUAGGUUCCUGUUUCUUUCGGAAAUUCCAAUUUGGCUGUGUAAUUAUAUUAUUGGCAUUAUUACUAUUAGUUAUUUUUAGUCAGUCGGGUGACAACACGAUGACAGGGGGAGCUUCACAAGCGCCCAGUGACUCUGCCGCCCAGGCCAAAGCUUCAGGGAAGAAGAAGAAAGGAGGAUCCGUUGUGUACAGAGCUGUGGCCGCCUCCCAGGACCGCAAAGGUCUUUUCUACUACGCCAUAAAGCAGGCGCUGACCUUCCAGGGCUACGAUGUGGAUCAGCACGGCUUCCUCAUCAAACGCGCCAUUAAUAUGCUGGUAAAAAGCCCAAGUAGGUGUUAAGGGAAACUGCACUGGAAGAAGUGCCCUCCGCUAAGCCAAGUAGGCCGCUGGUUCCUCUGAAUCAGCGUCCAAGAAGAAAGCGUUAGCUCGGAGAAGAUGCUUAAGAAGCUCAAAACGCUCUUUUAAGAGCCACCAAACUGUACACUACAGGGCUGAUUUCAUUUUCAAAUGAAGAAUGAAUAAAAUUAAUACACACAUCACCCCUUCAGACCUCAUCAACUUAAUAUAAAUGGCUGUUUUGCUUCCAGAUACCAAGUGAUUUAAGACAAAGAGGUCAGCAGCAAACAGACAGAGCACAGUCUGCAGGAUCCAGCUUUCUGUCUAUAAAAAGUGAUCACUCCAGACAUUCUCCCCCAGUUUUCAGGUAUAUAUUUGGAUCCUCGGACACGAGGUAAGAGAUUGUUUUUACUGUAAAUUGAGCUAAAGAUGGAGAUUUAGGGUUUUUGGGUUUAUAGAUUCUCAGGAUAAAAUAAUUAAUUCAUCCGGAUUUGCCAACAUGAACACGGGUGUUUCUAUUUCACUGAUUAAUAUGUGUUUAUAUUAAGCACCUUCUAGAUGUUGGAAUUUUUGUAUUUGGUACAAAACUUAUUUUCAGAAAAUAAACUGUCACAAAGGGAAUUUGCUGCAGUAGCUAAAAGAAGACCAGAAAUGAAAGACAGAAGACAAACUACUAACAACUCAGAACCACAAACAUAGCACAGAAAUAUAGAUUUUUCUGGAGGUCAGAACUGGUAUUAAACUUUUUCAUUUGGGACAUUACCGUGUUUGUAAUAAUCUGAAAUGUUUUUGGUUGAUACCCAUAGAGAUACGAAGAGGAGUAAUGUUUGUCUGGACAGCAGGUGGCCUUUGUUUUAGGAUGUCUUAAAGGAUCCGGUCUCUGCCAGUGCAUCUCCUCAUACAGUGCACUUCAUCAGGAGACUUAGAGUAGCUGUGUUGUGGCUGCCAUCAGCAGCUGUUAUUGAGUUUAAGGUAAUUUCAUGGUUUUAAGUUACAAUAAAUACAUUAAAAAUAUUUUAUUUUUAAUAAAUCAAUUAUAAUGUAUACAUUGUUGGUCUUAAAAAAAAACCCAUUUAAAGGUUCUACAAAAUGUUUCCAGGGUGGAACCAAUGUUCAGUCUGUUGUUCAGGGUUGAUGAUAAUUCCAGUUACACGCCACACUCGGUAGAGGGCAGCAGCAUGCUUUCCUUUCUCAAUAGGUGGUACAGAUUUGGAGAAGGAUGCAGUGAAGUUUUUCAGCUGUGGGUACAGAGUGUGCGCUGCAAGAUAUGUUUUCGUUAACCCCUUCAAGUUAAAAAUAAGAUGCUUAUGUGUCACAGAACUGUUGACUUUAUGUUAGUCACGUGUAAUACAGAAUGUGUCAACAUUUUGUAAAGGUCAAAUUGUGAAUGUUUUUGUAUUGUUGAAUAAUAUACUUUAUUGUUUACUGUCUAUGAGAACGACUUACUUUGAAAAUUGAUUAUUUUAUGUUGUUUGUACAGUUCUCACAGCAUUGGUUGUGGCACCUGUGUCCAAUACAUGCCAGUAAAAAUAAAGAACGCCUCAUGUCCGUUUUUCAACUUGGAGGGAGUUACAUGUGUGGAAAGUAAGACUAAAGAUCUGAUUAAAUAAUUUCUGAAAACUG